rnacentral:snRNA from 1 species
AUACUCAAUGAUACACAU